UGGGGAAUAUUGCGCAAUGGGGGGAACCCUGACGCAGCCAUGCCGCGUGAAUGAAGAAGGCCUUCGGGUUGUAAAGUUCUUUCGGUAUUGAGGAAGGUUGAUGUGAUAAUAGCACAUCAAAUUGACGUUAAAUACAGAAGAAGCACCGGCUAACUCCGUGCCAGCAGCCGCGGUAAUACGGAGGGUGCGAGCGUUAAUCGGAAUAACUGGGCGUAAAGGGCACGCAGGCGGUUAUUUAAGUGAGGUGUGAAAGUCCUGGGCUUAACCUAGGAAUUGCAUUUCAGACUGGGUAACUAGAGUACUUUAGGGAGGGGUAGAAUUCCACGUGUAGCGGUGAAAUGCGUAGAGAUGUGGAGGAAUACCGAAGGCGAAGGCAGCCCCUUGGGAAUGUACUGACGCUCAUGUGCGAAAGCGUGGGGAGCAAACAGGAUUAGAUACCCUGGUAGUCCACGCUGUAAACGCUGUCGAUUUGGGGGUUGGGGUUUAACUUUGGCGCCCGUAGCUAACGUGAUAAAUCGACCGCCUGGGGAGUACGGCCGCAAGGUUA
rnacentral:rRNA from 1 species